CCCUGUGGCUGUUUCCUCUCUUCCCCCGCCCCCUCCCAUAGCUUAAUAGCAAAAUAGCUUAGUUUUCGUUGUCUUUUUCCAACUGCAGUGCUUACAGAAGACUUUUUAAAACUCUUUUUUUUUCCCCUGAUACCAUUUUCUGGCAGUUCCAAGGCAUCGUAGCUUCGUCUAACCUCACAUUAGAGAAGAGGAUUAGUGUCUUCUUUUAAGAAGCCUGGCAAACACGGAGAAGGAUCGCAGGGCCUGUUCUUUGAUAGGCGUUUCUCAACUCCCAGAAUUCCCCAUCCGGCCUGCUUUCAAAUGGGGUGGGGCUUCAACUCCCAGAAUUCCCCAGCCAGUAAAGCAACACUGAUCUUUUUUUUUUUAAUAAAAAAGUUUUAUUUUCAUUUUCCAACAACCUAUUCAAUGUACAGUCUCUUAUUCAACAUUAGUCAUUAACUUUCAUUUGUUACUGAUUCGGACCUGCCCAACUACCACUUACUUCCUUAACACAACCUUUCCUCCUCUACUUUCUUCUACUUUCUUCAUCCUUCCUCUCCUUCGCUUUUCUACUUCCUCUCCUCCUUCCCCACUCUUCUCUUCCACCCUUUCUAACCCUCUCUCUUUCCCCUUUCUUCUUCCUCUCCUUUCCCCCUCUUCUACCUCUCUCUUUCCUACCUACUUUCUUCCUUCACUCUCUCUACUCAUCUCUCCCUUUCCAUUCCCUUCUGAAAUGGCAGCUGAGCAGCCCCGAUUUCAUUUCAAAUUAUUUCUAUUUCUUCUUCAAUCAUUCCUUUACAUUGAUCCUUCAUCUCCCCCCCUCUCCCCCCUUCCCCUCCCUCCCCCCGAGACUUCCCAGAACAAAGUACAGGGUAUAAAAUUAACAAUCAUAAAUUAAAAUACAACAUAAAUCAUAAUCCAUAGUCACUCCUCUCUCUAAUAACUCCCCUUCCAGAAACAAAAAAGUACAUUCUUCUUCCAGUCCAUUAUAUAUCAAAUGGGUGGGCUUCAACUCCCAGAAUUCCCCAGCCAGUAAAGCAACACUGAUCUUAAAUCCAUGCUGAGUGGAGAAUUCUGGGUGUUAAAAAGUCCACCCAACUUAAACAAUGCUGGCUGGGAUAUUCUGGGAGCUUGAAGUCCACCCAUCUUCAAGGCACCUCGGUCAAGAAACGCCGCCGGAGAACACAGCAGUUGACAGGCUCAGGGUUUUUUUGGGGGGGGGAGGGUUUGGUCUCUUUGAAACUAUUUGUGUCCGAGAGACUCAGACACGCACUGUGAAACUCAACCCAUCCGUGAUGUGGCGCCAUCAUCCAGUAGUCGCUGUGGGGCAUCUUGUCACUCCCAUUAGCGUGUGCAUGUGUGUGAAUGUUGCAGGCGGGGUCAUUUUCCGCUGGAGCACGGCAGAAAGUCAUGGCGCAUCCUAAGGAGAAGGAGGACUUGAGACCCCUAAUUUAGCUUGUCCUGCAGGAACAAGCCACCCUAAUCUCCUAUAAAGUCCCAUAAUCCCUGACUGUGCUAAUGAGGCCUUCAGGAAAGUGUAACCCAGGGUAGCUUCUGAAAACCCAACUUCCCACCUACCCACCCCCGGUUCUAGUGGGUGCCACCACUCAGUUGUGUGAUUAAUAGCGCGACUUUCCCCUUUUGCGGGGUAGCCAAAUCCUGCGGGGUGGGUGGGAGAGAGAUUUUAACAAAUGCAUUGGCCCCUUAUGUCCAUUGUCUUGACCUCUCUGAGCAUGGAGAAAAUCCCUACUUUAAAUACAGGAGGGGAUGUUCCCCUCCGUCUCUCUUUGAAGAUCCUCCCAAGUCCCUCUUCAUCUCUUCGUUUCUUUUGAAACGGUUUGGUUUAAGUUCCAGCCCAGCAUGAUCGACUCGCCUCGUCUUUAAAACCUGCCAUGCUUUUGUUACAUUGGUUGUAAUGAUUAAUAUUUUUUUUAAGAAAAAAGGUUAAAUUAAUUCCUAAAUUUAAUAGGAAAAACAAACACAAACCAUUUAAGUUAACGGUUUAACUAUAUUCGCUCUGUAAAUUAUUGUAUAAAACCUAUUGACAAUGCACUGAAUUUAGAAAGACCGUGUACAUAAGUACUGUGUAAAUAAUUUAAAGGAGGGGGGAAAAGUAUUAAUGUAUUGGGAUAUGAACUGUAUUAAAAAAAAAGUCCAAGUAACUGUACAUGGAGUGAACUUGUCUAUCUGUAAGUAUAUUAUUCCAAGCAAAUUAAAUACUGUGGAUGCAACUCA